UAGCUACUUGUUCCCUCCACGGCUCCACCUCUCUCUUUAUUUACCAACUCCUACAAGAAUUCCUUGCCAUGAUUGGUCUCUGGCAAUUUAAAGAACACUAGAUUUUGGUUUCAAAAUCAAUAUGAAGUGGUCCUCAAAAGAUUUUCUAAGAGAAUCCUUUCCAGGAAUUGAGAACUUCAUGAAAGACUUCAGCUAUCAGAUCCCUGUCUGCACAUUGCAAGAAGGAAUUGAAAUCAUCUCGAAUAUCAAAUAUCUUACCGAACUUCACAAGAUACCGCAGGCAGCUGGUCUUCAGUUUCGGCAAUUGAUACAAGGAUGCGCUUUGUAGCCUCUCAAGUACAUUCUUUGUGUCUAUAUCUUCCAGAAGACUGUCAUGACAUGCCUCUUUCAGGUCAGCAAUAUCAUACUUAUCAGCUGCACUGAGAAGUGCCAAACGGUGGACAAGAAAUUCUUCACUCUGGAUGUUCCCAUAUAUGUAAUUGAGAAAAGCCUGACAAGCUUCAAUUGACAUGUCGGAGAUAUUUAUGGUUGACAGUUCCUUUUCUUUCAGGUCAUGAGCAAACAUGCUGUGGAAAACAGGCGAUCUUGCAGCAAGAACAGCACGGUGGGCUCCAAUGCUUCCAUCAGAAACAAUAAUUUUGAUAUCCGUGUGGAUGCUUUCUGUUAACAUUCUACCAAGUGACACAAGAGCUGUUGCAUUUGCUCGCUUUUCUGUGGUUUCUUCGUCCCAGAUCGAGCAAGGUUCUCCACCCUGUAUAUUUAAUGACAUAUAGCAGCUUUUAAAAUAAAGGCCAGCCAAUAUAGAAACAUACCCCUGGAGAUGCUGCCUUCAAAUCAAGGAAUUCAACGUCGAUAAUGAAUUUCCCUGUUGUUAAAGGAACAUCAAUUGCCCAGACGAAAUCCUCGUUGUUCUUGAGCUGCUUAUCUGUUACCUCUGCAGGAAUACAUUUAAAAUAAAACUGAGAAAGUAACAUGAAGUUGAGCAUUUUGUCAGAAAAUACCAAAACACACAAGAAACUGCCUUAUCCUCAGCGGCAAAACAUACAUAUGCAUAGGAUAGUAUGCUCCCAGUGCACUAAUUACCAUAUCAUUUGCAGAUUCAAGUUAUGGUUUAUCACAGUUACGAUCAUAUUUUUCAUUUGCUUAUCCAUUUCACCAAUUCAUAAAUAAUGUAUUGGUAGGUAGAUCACAACUUAGAACAUUCGAUCGAGGGUAUAGAUCAUCUACGUCAUUCACUCCGCAGCUCAUGAACUUUGUAAUGGUUUGUAGAUCACAACUUAGAAUUCAAAUCAAGGGUCAGAAGUAUGAAAUUCAAGAUGGUUAACUGCACGUGUUCCAUCUUUAUUGGAGAAAAACAAGUUAUAAACAGAAAAGUAUCUAAAAACUGAAGAUAGAGUUUGAAUUUAUUACCUGGAUGAGUCAAAGCCUUGCGAUCUCCAGCAGAAGAAACAACUCGAAUAAUAAAUGAAGCAAUUGGAGGAUUUUCCCGCGUUAGAUUCGAUAUCUCUGGAUACAACUUAACAAAUAAUACCCGGUUCUUCUCCACAGAUAGAUGCCUUCAAUCCAAAAAGAUUGUUAAACUCAGCUGAUAUAGCAAGAUCACAGAAAAUAAUGGCCAAAAAAGAAAUUCACAGUGCACUAAUAAAUCAUAGCUAUCUUACUUUCUCUUUCUUACCAGCAAAAUUUAUAGGCAACCAAACAAAGGAUCAUCAAUGUACUGAAACAUGUGCCUACCCUGUCUCUGCCAUUGACCAUACUCCUGGUCUCUAUCCUAUCCAAAGCUAAAGUCUCACCAUUCCACAUGGAUUGAAAAACCCCAAAAUCCCACUUCAAAAUUACCCAUUUCUAGGACACUCAGAUCAUAAAUUCCCACUUACAGAGAAAAACAACAGCAACAGCAAAAGAACUGCCAAAAAGAUCCUAAAUUUCCAGUGAAAGAAACCAGCUUUACGAAAAUCAAGAGAACAACAAUCACACAAGACUCUAGGGCAAAUUCUAUCUUCUUGAAACAGAACAAGAAACUAAACAAUCUACUGUAGGGAAUCAACCCAUGGAUGCAGAAAAGGAAAACAAGAAAGUACUAACCAAUUCCACUUGCCAAUCUUGAAAGGAUCUGAUUUCCGAUAAGUACAAGAAGCAAGAUUGUCUAUCUUCCAUUGAGCAAGACGAGAAGUGGUUUCAACUCUAUAAGCAGAAGAAUCUGUCAUCCUAGCAAAAGCAAGAGCCACUGUAAUUUCAUGGAUACAAUCAAAUAUCCUCCCAUCAAGAAAAUAUUCCCCUGCCUUUCCCAGGAUUACUACUUCUACAAAAAUCUUCUUUUUCUUUACUAGAACUACAAUUAUCUUGACCACUCCUCGUAAACAUAACCAUAAAAAAGCAAAAGAAAAAGGACACGAACAAUGAUAACAGUCACAGUCACAGUCACAGUCAGAAACCUAUCUUUCCUGUUCAAAUCCUUUAUACUACACUCUACUUUCACCUUGCACUUGAUAUGAGGUGAUCAUAUCUUCAUUAAAGAAAACAUAUAAAGAAAGUUAGAAAUUGGGGUGGUGUUCUUGGUUCUUGGUUUAGUUGCUUUUCAAUGAUUUCGGACACGCAAGGGUUUUGAUUGGUGUUGCUUUACGCCAUUGAUGGUGAAGUUUUAAUUUUUUUUUUUUCUUCUUUUGCUAAGCAGGGGGAGAGAGAGAGAGAGACAAAUUAAGAGGGGUGAUGUUUUUGUUGGCUUACACUGCACUUCAAGGGCGGGCAAGCAAGCAAGGAAGGAAGGAAGGAAGGGAGAGAGCUUGUGUUAUUUAAUGUAAAGGCUAUUAUCGUUUGGUUUGUUUUUCUUCCAUUAAGAUAUAAGAUUAAAGACAGACGACAUCCUUCUUCCUUCAAUAAAUUAUUUAUUUCAUGUGCU